rnacentral:rRNA from 1 species
UACGUAGGGUGCAAGCGUUGUCCGGAAUUAUUGGGCGUAAAGAGCUGUAGGCGGUUUGUCGCGUCUGCUGUGAAAUUUCGGGGCUCAACCCCGAACUUGCAGUGGGUACGGGCAGACUAGAGUGUGGUAGGGGAGACUGGAAUUCUGGUGUAGGCGGUGAAAUGCGCAGAUAUCAGAGGAACACCGAUGGCGAAGGCAGGUCUCUGGGCCAUAACUGACGUGAGAAGCGAAAGCAUGGGGAGCGAACGG